UCUUAAUAGCUUUUCAUUUCCUUAGAGAAAAUGUUGAAUCAUUUCGAGGGCAUAUAAAAUACAAGAUGAAACAUGAAGAUGGUGAUAGUUCUAACAAGCAUAUAUAUGCGUGCAAUAUCAAAACAACAAAUCAAUGAUUUUACCAAAGUGUGAUACAAGUCCCGUCUCAUGCUUAGCUCAUGGGAAACAAGGACCAAUUCGUUGGACUUCAGACCUGAUUUCAAGAGCUCGAGCACCAAGUGAACAUGUUGGAAGCUUUGAAGUCGGAGAUGGAAAUUGUUUGGGUUAGUGCUCUCUUCGUGCAUAACCUUGAGCAAGAAGUUAGGUCAGGGAUAUUCCAGACGAUUCACACCCCACGGUUCUUGCUCAAGCUUAUGCACGAGGAGAGCAUUAACCCCGUCACAAGGUUCUUCUUUAUACCUUACGGAUAAGGACUUAUAUAUGGUGUGAUUUCUAGCAUCACAUAAUCGAUACUCAAUUUUGUAGACUGCGCAGAGCAAUCGCUGGGAAGAUAGAGAAAGCACAAAGGUUGUUAAGGCGGUCCUUGACUAUCUCAGGGGUCAACCAAAGUUGAAGUUUUGCUCUGAAUGAGGCUAUCUGUAUAGAUGUAGUUGUGUUCAUUUUUGCCCUAGAACCCUUGUAUUUAUACUUACAGGUUCGGCAGUUCCUUGCAAUAGAAGGAUUAUUGAAUGAUAGAUUCCUAAUUGA